rnacentral:rRNA from 1 species
UACGGAGGGUGCGAGCGUUGUCCGGAAUCACUGGGCGUAAAGGGCGCGUAGGUGGCGCGGGAAGUCAACGGUGAAAGUUCGGGGCUCAACCCUGAAUCGGCCGUCGAUACUCCCGGGCUCGAGCACUGUAGAGGCAGAUGGAAUUCCGGGUGUAGCGGUGGAAUGCGUAGAGAUCCGGAAGAACACCGGUGGCGAAGGCGGCCUGCUGGGCAGUAGCUGACGCUGAGGCGCGACAGCGUGGGGAGCAAACAGGAUUAG